rnacentral:rRNA from 1 species
UGGCGGCAGGCCUAACACAUGCAAGUCGAGCGGAUGAAAGGAGCUUGCUCCUGGAUUCAGCGGCGGACGGGUGAGUAAUGCCUAGGAAUCUGCCUGGUAGUGGGGGACAACGUUUCGAAAGGAACGCUAAUACCGCAUACGUCCUACGGGAGAAAGCAGGGGACCUUCGGGCCUUGCGCUAUCAGAUGAGCCUAGGUCGGAUUAGCUAGUUGGUGAGGUAAUGGCUCACCAAGGCGACGAUCCGUAACUGGUCUGAGAGGAUGAUCAGUCACACUGGAACUGAGACACGGUCCAGACUCCUACGGGAGGCAGCAGUGGGGAAUAUUGGACAAUGGGCGAAAGCCUGAUCCAGCCAUGCCGCGUGUGUGAAGAAGGUCUUCGGAUUGUAAAGCACUUUAAGUUGGGAGGAAGGGCAGUAAAUUAAUACUUUGCUGUUUUGACGUUACCGACAGAAUAAGCACCGGCUAACUCUGUGCCAGCAGCCGCGGUAAUACAGAGGGUGCAAGCGUUAAUCGGAAUUACUGGGCGUAAAGCGCGCGUAGGUGGUUUGUUAAGUUGGAUGUGAAAUCCCCGGGCUCAACCUGGGAACUGCAUCCAAAACUGGCAAGCUAGAGUAUGGUAGAGGGUGGUGGAAUUUCCUGUGUAGCGGUGAAAUGCGUAGAUAUAGGAAGGAACACCAGUGGCGAAGGCGACCACCUGGACUGAUACUGA